UGGGGAAUAUUGGACAAUGGGGGCAACCCUGAUCCAGCCAUGCCGCGUGAGUGAUGAAGGCCUUCGGGUUGUAAAGCUCUUUUGCAGGGGACGAUGAUGACGGUACCCUGAGAAUAAGCCCCGGCUAACUUCGUGCCAGCAGCCGCGGUAAUACGAAGGGGGCUAGCGUUGUUCGGAAUUACUGGGCGUAAAGGGCGCGUAGGUGGCUUGGCAAGUUGGGUGUGAAAGCCCAGGGCUCAACCCUGGAAUUGCACUCAAGACUGCUUUGCUUGAAUUCGGUAGAGGUUGGUGGAAUUCCCAGUGUAGAGGUGAAAUUCGUAGAGAUUGGGAAGAACACCCGUGGCGAAGGCGGCCAACUGGACCGACAUUGACACUGAGGCGCGAAAGCGUGGGGAUCAAACAGG
rnacentral:rRNA from 1 species